CCUACGGGAGGCAGCAGUGGGGAAUAUUGGACAAUGGGCGAAGGCCUGAUCCAGCAAUUCCGCGUGUGUGAAGAAGGCCUUCGGGUUGUAAAGCACUUUAGUGGGGGAAGAAACAGCUUGGCCACACCAAGCCUUGACGGUACCCCAAGAAUAAGCACCGGCUAACUCUGUGCCAGCAGCCGCGGUAAUACAGAGGGUGCAAGCGUUAAUCGGAUUUACUGGGCGUAAAGGGUGCGUAGGUGGCUAUUUAAGUCGGAUGUGAAAGCCCGGGGCUCAACCUCGGAAUUGCAUUCGAUACUGAGUGGCUAGAGUUCGGUAGAGGGCGGCGGAAUUUCCGGUGUAGCGGUGAAAUGCGUAGAUAUCGGAAGGAACAUCAAUGGCGAAGGCAGCCGCCUGGGCCUGGACUGACACUGAGGCACGAAAGCGUGGGUAGCAAACAGGAUUAGAUACCCUGGUAGUCCACGCCGUAAACGAUGAGAACUUGACGUUGGUUCGUUUUACGAAUCGGUGUCGCAGCUAACGCGAUAAGUUCUCCGCCUGGGGAGUACGGCCGCAAGGUUGAAACUCAAAGAAUUGACGG
rnacentral:rRNA from 1 species